GUAAUAUGCACCAGCGGGAUCCAGGGAGAGGAAGAAGGCUGAAAGGACUAGAAUUUCUGGCCCAGUUUUUAAAGAAAAGAAGAGAAUGAGAGACCCAUAAAACUCAGAAGCACUCUUUUCCCCUGGGCUCAUUCACAUGGAAAUGCAAGUCCGCUGAUGGCGGACAGGGCAGUGAUGGCGCAGGAGCAGGGGUCUCCGUGACCCUCCAGCUCCUUCGCGGCCGCCCCGUGCGCCAGCGGGACUCCCCUCCUGAGCCAUCAGUGCCAAAUGGAAAGACUUUAACGUCACAUCUUUGGGCACUUGGCAGGAAACACCACGAAUGUUCCAAUUAUUAAACUAAUAAGCACUCAAGACCCCAAACAGCCCUUCGUGGUGCACGUACACCCCAGCGUUGGGUGCUGGGAAAACUCCUCGUCAAGCACAAGGCUCUUUGGUUGCUGUGCUGACGAUAUGGAGCAGAAAAAGGACAGCGGUCAUGACAUUGGCAGUGGCUGUCUAAGGUUCCUCUGAGGCCUGCGCCUGAUCUCUUGCUGACAGAUGUAGAGAGUAGCACCGCCUUUGCUGUAAUCACAGCUGCUGCUUACUUAACCUCUAAGAACGCUGCCUUGAGCACAGCGCUGAGGAUGGGAGAAAAGCCAGUCUGGAUUCCAGUGGCCCAACCCAGAACUUUGGUUACUGGAUUCUCAGCCCAUCUUCAUAGCCACUCAGGGAGGCAUGCAAGGAUGAAGACUCAAACCCAGACCUUCUCAGCAACUUCAGUAUUUUCAGUACUUUUUCCAGGAAUCUACUUACUAGAAAGAUCACCUCAAGCUAACCUGUGAAAUGAGGAUUGGGAAGAGUCAUCAGAUUUGGGACUGUGAAUCGCUCUGUUUGAAGACAAGUCUCAUGACAUGGACUUCCUGAAGAUCCACCAAUUGCCAGACUCUUUAAGAGGCCUGAGCUGACUCUUGCUUCAAGGAGCAGCCUAACAUUAACAUCAUCAAGAAAGAUCUAUUGUGCCCUUCAGUUUACGAAGUUGACUUCCUGCUUGUGGAAUCUUAGCUCUUUGACCAUGGAUCAAACCUACACCACCUGCAUUGGAAGGCAAAGUCUUAACCACUGGACUACCAGGGAAAUCCCACAAUCAGCACCAUCAUAUCCCCUUAACUCCCCAAGGGGCUCUUCUUGCAUUUAUUUUCACCUUCUAUAUUGACCUUCAGUAGAGAAUAAAAAUGAGAGAGAGGUCUGGACAGCGGCCCUCCUCCACUCAGUGACCUUCUUGGAUAUGGCGCCUGCAUUCCAUUCCCAGCACAGGGCUGGCUCCAAGGACGGGAGCCCUUUGCAAAGCACUGUUUCCCAUAGUUCCUGAUGCCUUUGUUCUGAGAUAAAGUAAGCCUGUGCUCCAUCCCCUCUGCCAAGCUUCUGCUUAUCACUAGGCAAGGCAAAUAUCAUUGGAAUGUUUCAGUGCACUAUUAGCCAAAUUCCAAUGCAAUCCCAAUCACUUGAUUAAGUGUUUUGAGGACUCACUAGUCCUGGCAUUGACAAGUCCUUGUAAGAGAUCAACAGUGUCAAUGGGAAUAAAUAUUAGCUUGUCCUUUCACAUUGAAUAUGUCAAGCUGACCUACAAGGAUGUAAGCACGCCAAGGGCUGCAAUUUCUGUUUGUUUUGUCUCCAAUAUAUCCCCUAAUACACCUGGAAUGCUACCAGAACAGUUCCCUGAAAUAGUGCCCGGGACAUAGUUGGUGCUUAAUAAAUG
ensembl:lncRNA